rnacentral:rRNA from 1 species
UACGUAGGGGGCGAGCGUUGUCCGGAUUUAUUGGGCGUAAAGAGCUCGUAGGCGGUCUGUCGCGUCGAAUGUGAAAGCCCAGGGCUCAACUCUGGGUCUGCAUUCGAUACGGGCAGACUAGAGUAUGGCAGGGGAGACUGGAAUUCCUGGUGUAGCGGUGAAAUGCGCAGAUAUCAGGAGGAACACCGGUGGCGAAGGCGGGUCUCUGGGCCAAAACUGACGCUGAGGAGCGAAAGCGUGGGGAGCGAACAGG